UACGAAGGGGGCGAGCGUUGCUCGGAAUCACUGGGCGUAAAGCGCACGUAGACGGCUUCUUAAGUCAGGGGUGAAAUCCUGGGGCUCAACCCCAGAACUGCCCUUGAUACUGAGGAGCUUGAGUCCGGGAGAGGUGAGUGGAACGCCGAGUGUAGAGGUGAAAUUCGUGGAUAUUCGGAAGAACACCAGUGGCGAAGGCGGCUCACUGGCCCGGUACUGACGCUGAGGUGCGAAAGCGUGGGGAGCAAACAGG
rnacentral:rRNA from 1 species